UAAGCUAAAUAAGAGCGUAUGGGGAAUGCCUAGGCUCUCAGAGGCGAUGAAGGACGUGAUAAGCUGCGAAAAGCUGCGGGGAUUGGCACAUACAAAUUGAUCCGUAGAUAUCCGAAUGGGGCAACCCAGCAUAUUGAAGAUAUGUUAUCCGAAAGGAAGUAAACCCGGAGAACUGAAACAUCUAAGUACCCGGAGGAGAAGAAAACAAAAGUGAUUCCGUUAGUAGUGGCGAGCGAACGCGGAUUAGCCCAAACCAGUAUUGUUAAGGCAAUGCUGGGGUUGUAGGACUACAAUAUUUGAGCUGUAAUGAAUUAGAAUAGUUUGGAAAGACUAACCAAAGAGGGUGAUAGUCCCGUAUAAGUAAAGAACAGUAAGAUAGUAGUAUCCUGAGUAGCGCGGGACACGAGUAAUCCUGUGUGAAUCAGUCGGGACCAUCCGAUAAGGCUAAAUACUCCUGGAGAGACCGAUAGUGAACUAGUACCGUGAGGGAAAGGUGAAAAGAACCUGAAUAAGGAGUGAAAUAGAUCCUGAAACCAUACGCUUACAAGCGGUCGGAGCCCUUUGGGGUGACGGCGUGCCUUUUGCAUAAUGAGCCUACGAGUUACCGUUGCUAGCAAGGUUAAGUGAUUAAGUCACGGAUCCGUAGCGAAAGCGAGUCUGAAUAGGGCGCUUUAGUUAGUAGUGGUAGACGCGAAACCGUGUGAUCUACCCAUGGGCAGGUUGAAGCUGUAGUAACAUACAGUGGAGGACCGAACCGGUUGACGUUGAAAAGUCUUCGGAUGACCUGUGGGUAGGGGUGAAAGGCCAAUCAAACUCGGAAAUAGCUCGUACUCCCCGAAAUGCAUUUAGGUGCAGCGUUGAUUUAUAGUUUUAUAGAGGUAGAGCUACUGAUUGGAUGCGGGGGCUUCACCGCCUACCAAUUCCUGACAAACUCCGAAAUGCUAUAAAAUGUUAAUCAGCAGUGAGGGCAUGGGUGCUAAAGGUCCAUGUCCGAAAGGGAAAGAACCCAGACCAUCCAGCUAAGGUCCCCAAAAUAUAUGUUAAGUUGAAAAAAACGAGGUUGAACUGCUUUGACAGCUAGGAUGUUGGCUUGGAAGCAGCCAUUCAUUUAAAGAGUGCGUAACAGCUCACUAGUCGAGCGGUUCGGCAUGGAUAAUAAUCGGGCAUAAACAUAUUACCGAAGCUAUGGACUUGUAAAAGUGGUAGGGGAGCAUUGUAGUGGCGUUGAAGGUGUGCUGUGAGGUAUGCUGGAGUAGCUACAAAAGAAAAUGUAGGCAUAAGUAACGAUAAUGCGGCGAGAAACCCGCACUCCGAAAGACUAAGGUUUCCUCAGCUAUGCUAAUCAGCUGAGGGUUAGUCGGGACCUAACGCGAACCCGAAAGGGGUAGUGGAUGGACAACAGGUUAAUAUUCCUGUACCUGCUCUCAUUAAAAGUGACGGAGGCGAAAAGUUAGUGCGCACAGACGGAAUUGUGCGUUGAGAGAGUGGUAACACCUCGAUAGUACACUAAGACUACGGUCGCGGUGAUAAUCUAGCGAAUCGACUUCCAAGAAAAGCAAGAGAAGCAGCCCGUACCCUAAACCGACACAGGUAGUUGGUGAGAAUUCUAAGGAGCUCGAGAGAUUCAUGGCUAAGGAA
rnacentral:rRNA from 1 species